rnacentral:rRNA from 1 species
UACAGAGGUCUCAAGCGUUGUUCGGAUUCAUUGGGCGUUAAGGGUGCGUAGGCGGCGCGGUAAGUCGGAUGUGAAAUCUCGGAGCUUAACUCCGAAACUGCAUUCGAUACUGCCGUGCUUGAGGACUGGAGAGGAGACUGGAAUUUACGGUGUAGCGGUGAAAUGCGUAGAUAUCGUAGGGAAGACCAGUGGCGAAGGCGGGUCUCUGGACAGUUCCUGACGCUGAGGCACGAGGCCAGGGGAGC